rnacentral:rRNA from 1 species
AGUGAACGCUGGCGGUAGGCCUAACACAUGCAAGUCGAACGGCAGCACAGUAAGAGCUUGCUCUUACGGGUGGCGAGUGGCGGACGGGUGAGGAAUACAUCGGAAUCUACUUUUUCGUGGGGGAUAACGUAGGGAAACUUACGCUAAUACCGCAUACGACCUGCGGGUGAAAGCAGGGGAUCUUCGGACCUUGCGCGAUUGAAUGAGCCGAUGUCGGAUUAGCUAGUUGGCGGGGUAAAGGCCCACCAAGGCGACGAUCCGUAGCUGGUCUGAGAGGAUGAUCAGCCACACUGGAACUGAGACACGGUCCAGACUCCUACGGGAGGCAGCAGUGGGGAAUAUUGGACAAUGGGCGCAAGCCUGAUCCAGCCAUACCGCGUGGGUGAAGAAGGCCUUCGGGUUGUAAAGCCCUUUUGCUGGGAAAGAAAAGCAGCAGGUUAAUACCCCGCUGUUCUGACGGUACCCAAAGAAUAAGCACCGGCUAACUUCGUG